GUCUGAUUAGCUAGUUGGUGAGGUAAUGGCUCACCAAGGCGACGAUCAGUAGCUGGUCUGAGAGGAUGAUCAGCCUCACUGGGACUGAGACACGGCCCAGACUCCUACGGGAGGCAGCAGUGGGGAAUAUUGGACAAUGGGCGCAAGCCUGAUCCAGCCAUGCCGCGUGGGUGAUGAAGGCCUUAGGGUUGUAAAGCCCUUUCGGCGGGGAAGAUAAUGACGGUACCCGCAGAAGAAGCCCCGGCUAACUUCGUGCCAGCAGCCGCGGUAAUACGAAGGGGGCUAGCGUUGCUCGGAAUCACUGGGCGUAAAGCGCACGUAGGCGGCUUUUUAAGUCAGGGGUGAAAUCCUGGAGCUCAACUCCAGAACUGCCCUUGAUACUGAGAAGCUUGAGUCCGGGAGAGGUGAGUGGAACUGCGAGUGUAGAGGUGAAAUUCGUAGAUAUUCGCAAGAACACCAGUGGCGAAGGCGGCUCACUGGCCCGGUACUGACGCUGAGGUGCGAAAGCGUGGGGAGCA
rnacentral:rRNA from 1 species